rnacentral:rRNA from 1 species
CCUACGGGAUGCAGCAGUGGGGAAUAUUGGGCCAUGGGCGCAAGCCUGACCCAGCAACGCCGCGUGAAGGAAGAAGGCUCUCGGGUUGUAAACUUCUUUUAUCAGGGACGAAGCAAGUGACGGUACCUGAUGAAUAAGACAAGGCUAACUACGUGCCAGCAGCGGCGGUAAUAGGUAGGUGGCAAGCGUUAUCCGGAUUUACUGGGUGUAAAGGGCGUGUAGGCGGGAAAGCAAGUCAGAUGUGAAAACCAUGGGCUCAACCUGUGGCCUGCAUUUGAAACUGUUUUUCUUGAGUACUGGAGAGGCAGACGGAAUUCCUAGUGUAGCUGUGAAAUGCGUAGAUAUUAGGAGGAACACCAGUGGCGAAGGCGGUCUGCUGGACAGCAACUGACGCUGAGGCGCGAAAGCGUGGGGAGCAAACAGGAUUAGAUACCCGAGUAGUC